rnacentral:lncRNA from 1 species
AUUAGUGAGAAUCGAGUAGCAGGUGAGGUGUUCAGAGCUGGGGCUCGAGCAGGGACAACACCAGGCUUAGGACUCCAGUAAAGCUGCUACAGGGACACCAGUGUUAAUUCAGGGCUGUAGAUUAAUGCAGUUAAUUGUAGACCCUACAUUUGCAUCUUGGUUGUAAGUCUUUCACCCCAGUAGAGAAAAAAAUGUUACAACUUCUGUUUUUCCUGGCUUCAGGAAAUUCAUGACAGAUAUAUAAUGUGCCUUUCCUCCAUGUUCCUGCCUCUGGGCAGUGCCAGAGCAGAGCCCUCAUGGCUGACAUAGGAGAAAACAGCUUUAUGGAGUUUUUGCUCUGAACUCUGUGCCUUAAAAGAUAUUUUUCUGUCAGAUGUAUAUUUACUUUAUUUUGUUUUGUUUCCAGUCUUACUAUGUAGCUCUGGCUGCCUAGAACUUGCUGUGUAGACCAGGCUGGCUCAAAUGUAUAGAGAACCCCCUGCUUCUGCCGUCCCCUCCUGAGUGCUGGGAUUAAAGGCACCCUAUCCCUUUGCUGGGUGCAUCUCAGUGUAUUUGUAUGUAAGUACAUAAUGGAUCUUCCAGUUUUCUCUUUGAGGUUAAGCUCUAAAUUAUCUGGGAUAACCUGGAAGCUUACUAAGUUACAUAGAAAGGGUUUCUUUGAAUUCCCUUAAUCCAAAGGGAGGUACAUGGAAUGCUGGGAGGGUUGGGGGAGGGGGAGCACUGAGUAAGGAUCACUGUGGGAGUUGAGGCCCAGGGAGAUGGUCCAUGCUCAGGGGAAAGCAAGCAAAUACAAAGACACCAUGCAGUGCACAGUGACAGGGAUCAAAGUGAGCUUCCCCUCCAUGGCUGGUUGCCUUUUAUGCCUGUUGAAGCUUCCUUGACACUUCAAAAACCCCUCAGAGCCAGGCAUGGGUACACCUUUAAUAUCAUGGCUCUCUGAGUUCCAGGCCAGCUAGGGCUAUACAGUGAGACCUGUCUCAAUGAGAAAUGAAAAGCCCUCUAGCUUCCAGGCAGGAAAACCCAGAUGAGGGGCUGCAAACGGACAGACACCCUGGGUUCUGCAUUCCCAGCUCAGGAUCUCAUGUUGAGAGAUAACUCACUCUGAGAAUGGUGAAGCGGUCAUUGCCUAACAUCCGCCACUUCUAAUGCUGUAACAGCCGAGGCAGGUGGUGAACUCUUGUCAGAAGUUGAAGAGUGAGCAGGAGUCACUUUUUUGUCCCAGUUUAUUGGAGACUAGCUUGCUGUUCUCUACUCGAGCAGAUGAAUUUACGCCAAGACUCCCAGCACGCACUUUAUGCUCUUACCUCUGUUUUGUGUUUUGUUUUCUUUCCUUGAAUUGGGGUCUCACACUAGCCCAGGACUCCCAGCAAUCCUUGUGCCUUAAUCUCCCAUGUACUAAGAUUACAGACUGAGCCACCAUGCCAGACCGGCUCUAGCUCCAUUUACCAUGGUGCCUCUACACUUUUCAGACUUUGUACUCCAUUUUCUGUUACUUUACUUACCAGGAGACCAAAAGCAAGAAGGAUGUGAAUUAGAAUUAAAUAGCUUUGAGCCUCUGGUGCUGCCCUUUUAAACAUUUUAACCUCUCUAGGGUUAGGGGGAGGAAGAUAAUUCCUAAACUCUAUACAAGUAAUUAGGUGUGUUAAUAGCAGGAAAUUGUGAUCCUCUCUACUCCCCACCCUACUACUGUUUCUGCUGUCCCACGGCUCUUGUCUUUGGAAGGUUUUGCCAGGCACUGGAACCUAAUUAGUCGGUCAUCUCUAAUCUGUGGGACUCACCUUUCCUUUCUCUCCUCCUUCCCAACCACAUACUUUGUUCUGAGGUGAUUUGUUUCUGAGAACUAACUAGGUUACCCCUCUGUUCCCACGUAGUUUCUGGCGUCUCGCUAUGUCAACUGUUACAGUAGCAACUGUGCUCGCUGGCCUGGCCCAGUGUGUGCUCUGCCAAGGCCAUGGAGAGGAGGGUGCCCCGGGGUUCUUCUCAGUGUUGCCUUGGUUUUCAAGUUGUCCGGCAGCUUUAUGUAUAGUAAACUUUCAGGAAAACAAAAGUUUCUUUUUUAUUUAGGAUAAACAGUUUGAUUCUGAUGCACAAGCUUCCGUGUAUAUGUGUGUGGAUGAGCAUCUCUGUAUGUAUACCUAUAUAGAUCUAUAUUAUAUAUACAAUUUUGUACUAUCGUUUAAAAUAAAGACAUUUCUUAAUAAAAUGUCAGUGUUGUUAAAUUCUUU